CGAGAGCGCGUGCCUCGCGGUGUCACGUUCCCCUGGCUUCGAAUGACACAGGCGCGCACGCGAUCGACCGGUUCGGACGUGCGCGCGUCCGACCACGCGGGUUGACAAGCGCGUGUCACGAUGCGAUGCUGCUUCAAGAAGAUAGCCCGUCUGGUCACGUGCGUCAUCCUCAUCCUCCUGUAUCUUUUCUUAAUAACACUGAGGGAUCAUCGAAGGAAUGCGCAAGAUGGCGGAUCGUCACACAAUGUUUCCGUUUUUACGGAAGAGGAGGAGGAGGAGGAAAUCAUUUUUAAUAAUUUAAUCCCUCGAGACACGGAACUUCGCGAUCUGUUCGUGAGCGUGAAGACGACCAAAAUUUUCCAUCAGAACAGGUUGGAAAUACUCCUCAAGACCUGGUUUACCUUGGCACGCGAACAGACUUAUUUCUUUACCGAUACAGAUGAUCCUGUCUAUCAAGCCAAAACUAAUGGUCAUAUGAUAAAUACAAAUUGUUCCUCCUCACAUAACAGAAAGGCUCUCUGUUGCAAGAUGGCUGUCGAACUAGACACCUUCGUAGAAUCUGACAAAAAAUGGUUCUGCCAUUUUGAUGACGAUAACUAUGUAAAUGUGCCAAGGUUAGUGAACUUGUUGAAGAGUUAUCAACCCCAAGAUGAUUGGUAUUUGGGUAAACCGAGCAUACAUUCCCCAUUACAGAUGACAACUAGAGAUAAUGUUAAGUUAUCAUUUUGGUUUGCUACUGGAGGUGCAGGGUUUUGUUUGAGCAGAGCUUUGGUGUUGAAAAUGAUGCCAUUUACUAGUGAUGGCAAGUUUAUCAGUGUCGGAGAGAGGAUACGACUUCCGGAUGACGUCAGUCUGGGUUACGUCAUCGGUAGAGCAUCUGCUGAAGAAGAGGCUGACCGUUGUUGAACAAUUCCACUCACACUUAGAACCCAUGAAAUUCAUUAAACCUGAAGAAUAUAAAGAUCAGAUAACAUUCAGUUACUCACGGCUAGGA
rnacentral:misc_RNA from 1 species